rnacentral:rRNA from 1 species
UACGUAGGGUGCGAGCGUUAAUCGGAAUUACUGGGCGUAAAGCGUGCGCAGGCGGCUUUGCAAGACAGAUGUGAAAUCCCCGGGCUCAACCUGGGAACUGCAUUUGUGACUGCAAGGCUAGAGUACGGCAGAGGGGGAUGGAAUUCCGCGUGUAGCAGUGAAAUGCGUAGAUAUGCGGAGGAUCACCAAUGGCGAAGGCAAUCCCCUGGGCCUGUACUGACGCUCAUGCACGAAAGCGUGGGGAGCAAACAGG